rnacentral:lncRNA from 1 species
CACCCAGAAUACCUCACUGAAGAGCCCAAGGCACCAGCUUGAUAUUUCUGGGUGUGUCACAGGGCUCGUGGCUAUUACUGAUCUUGCUCUUAUCAUGUUGGCAUUUAAGCACCUUAUCACCAAAGAUCCUGUGAUUCAAGAGCUCAGAUCCUCUGUUCUCUGCAGUCAGAGCUGCACUCCUGUGUCUGCUGGGAGCUAACAAGGGAAGCCGGAGAGGGAAGGAAGCCUGCCGUUUCAGGAACAUGCUCUAAACCACGGCACCAGUAAAUGGACCAGCAAGGAGACAGAGGAACACAUGGGAUGGACGAAGGAGCCACGAAGACAGUGUUUGGGGAUCAUUCCUCCUACACCGUGUAUCACGUGGCACGGUUCGGUUCUGAAUGUCUAUCCACAUCUGCU